rnacentral:misc_RNA from 1 species
GAUGAAGAACGUAGCAAAAUGCGAUAAGUAAUGUGAAUUGCAGAAUUCAGUGAAUCAUCGAAUCUUUGAACGCACAUUGCGCCCGCUGGUAUUCCGGCGGGCAUGCCUGUUCGAGCGUCAUUUCAACCCUCAAGCCCCCGGGUUUGGUGUUGGGGAUCGGCUCUGCCCUUCUGGGCGGUGCCGCCCCCGAAAUACAUUGGCGGUCUCGCUGCAGCCUCCAUUGCGUAGUAGCUAACACCUCGCAACUGGAACGCGGCGCGGCCAUGCCGUAAAACCCCAACUUCUGAAUGUUGACCUCGGAUCAGGUAGGAAUACCCGCUGAACUUAAGCAUACAAUAAGCGGAGGA